rnacentral:rRNA from 1 species
UACUCGAGUGGCGAACGGGUGAGUAACACGUGGGUGAUCUGCCCUGCACUUCGGGAUAAGCCUGGGAAACUGGGUCUAAUACCGGAUAGGAGCCAUUUUUAGUGUGAUGGUUGGAAAGUUUUUUCGGUGUAGGAUGAGCUCGCGGCCUAUCAGCUUGUUGGUGGGGCAAUGGCCUACCAAGGCGGCGACGGGUAGCCGGCCUGAGAGGGUGGACGGCCACAUUGGGACUGAGAUACGGCCCAG